UAUAGAGGAACGAAGGCUAGAAGCAUCACUUCCUGUGAUAACGCCUUCGUGACCAACAUUGUGCUGC
rnacentral:sRNA from 1 species